UGGGCACAGGGAAGGAACCCACUCCCUACCGCCACCGUCAACCUGGCAAUUUCUGGAUGAAUCUUGGUACACCAAGUGUAGAAUGACAGCAAGUGUGAGCUCCAAGGAGUCUGGGGGAACAUGUCGCUCAGAGCUGAGCCUGACUCCAGAAGUCUCCACGCGAUAGGUUUGCAAAUGGGUGCAGCCACAGAACCCUCAGAGUAAGCACUUUCUAGACACUUCCUUCGUCAUCACGUGUGAUUGGCUUUCCUCUGCUUACCCAGACCUGCCACAUCCUAAUUUCCUAACCUCGGUGAGCAAGCUGUGAAAUACUUAGAAACCAGUUGAACACAACUUGUGUAAGAUCUCUAUGGUGAAGAGGGCAAGAACACCACUGAAGAACUUUGUCCAGUCAUCUGUCAACGGACAUGCGGGCUGUUUCCGUGUCUUGGCUGUUAUAAGUGCUGCUGCUGGGAACACUGGAUGCGUGUGUCUUUCUGAAUUAUAUUUUCCUCCGGAUGUAUGCCCAGGAGUGGGAUGGCUAGAUCAUACGGCAAUCCUUGAUGCUAAAGAGAACUUCAUCUGCACCCCAUGAGAUUCACUCCCUCCUUUGCCCUCCAGAGGGAUGGAGAAUGGAGAUGUUGGCUGUCAGGCUGAGAGGAGCCCUUGAGGCAGCAACCCAGGAUCCCGUUGGCUGCUCUGCUACCCAGGCCUUUCCGCAUAGAUUUUAGAGUCAGUUUCUCGAUACCUGUGCAACAGCGCGCCAGGAUUUUGGCUGGGCUCCUGUUGAAGCUACAGAUCAAACUGGGAAGAAGAAACAACAUCUUGACAAUAGCGGGUCUUCCAGUCCGUGAAGAUGGAACACCUCUCCAACAGCAGCCCGCCCCCACCCGAGCUCCUGAUCCAGCAAGUCUGAGGGGAGCCCGAGGCUUUGCCCUUCGGUCUGUGCCCAGGUGACCCCACUUUGAGAGGUGCUGUCCUAGGCUCCAGGAGCCCUGCCUGGCUGGGGAGUUGGGGUCACUUUGAAGACCUGGAACCUUCUUUCUGGGCUGGGCCCCAGGCUACCCGAAGGAGCUUUUGUCCCCAUGCAAAUCACGGCAGGCCGGCUCUGCUUGGAUUUGCAUGCUACAGCUGACUUUUUUAAACAUUUCCUCUCCAGCAGAUAAACAGCGGGUGCCGGGAACCCGAAGGUGCAGAGGCUCCGGGGGCACAGCCGCGCGUGGGAGAGGGUUCUUCUCUGAGUACCAGGUUCCUCAAUUUUCUGGGGGAGUUUCUUGGGACUCUUGGGACUCUCUCCUUCCCCAACAAACGCCCUCCGCGGAAGUCUCAGGAGGUCAAGCCCAGGUCUAAGACAAGGCCCUGCCCUCCCCCGACAGGGCGUGGCGGCGGCCUCUGGCUGAGCCCUAGGCGAGUCGAGCCAGGUGGCUGGAGGAGGGCACUGAGCAGUCAGAGGACUCCUGGGAGGACAGAAGGUGAAGGUGUGAGCAGAGGACUGGCACACAGGACCCCCCUUCCCAGAGAUGAGAGCCAGCCGGGGAAGGGGCAGGCCUUCCAGGUGGAAGGAGUGAGGCUCGGAGGCCGACACCAAGCCUGCACGGGUCACGCAGGUCACGCUCUCAGUGGCCACCCUCCUGUCGGCCUGUGGCCCCGACUCCAGGUGCUCACUCGACCCAUUGCCUUCCCUGCCUCCUGAGCCAGCCCUCCAAGGUACUGCAUCACGGGAGCUGGCCACACAGAGCCCCAGGGAGGGAUGCUGGCAGCGUGAGUGGGGGGCCCUGGGCCGGUGGCUCCGGCCCUCCUCCCUGGCAGGCAGGGCGGGAAGGCUUGGAAGGAUGGCCUCAGUCUCCACUGGGGGUCCUGACGGCUCUCCCCGCUCCCCAGUGUUUACAGGAGCUGCCAGCACAAUACUCCACCCCUCAGAGACCCCCUGGGGCCAAUCCAGAGCCUGCUCUGGAGAAACUAAGGCCCGAGAGGGUGGGGGCGGUGGCCAUGGCUCCAGACGCAGGGACGCUGUCACUUGGAUUGUCGUUGGGGUUGAGGUGUCUGAUCAGGGCCCAUGAGGACCAGAGCUGUACCCUUGGCCCCUAGGCCCAGACCUGUGGGCCCCAGAGCUAAAGAUAAGCAGGGGCCACAGCCUAGGCCUCGCGGCCAGCAGAGGGACCAAGCUGGAGGCCCUUGGCCCCUAAUCCCACGCCUUCUCCCUGCCCCGGGGCCCUGGUGUCCCGGAGCCCAGCAGCACCUCUGGGCCCUGACUCCAACCCUGGGGGUGGAGGGGACCAGGUGAGAUGUACGGGGCCUGGUCUGGAACUGCUGGGGGAGACCACGUUGCACACCUGGCAGGGUUCUGGUACACCUCCCUCCCUCCCGGACACUCACUGCGCUUCCCGAUGGGCAGGGCAGAGAGCACAGGAGUCGUUCUGGAUAAUGACAAGUGAGUCAAAGUGACAAAUCACAUCCAGGCUGAGGCUGUGAAGAGCCCUGUGUGCCCGUCAUCCUCUGGCAAGGCGGGUUAGGG